rnacentral:misc_RNA from 1 species
CCGCAUCUUGCAACAUCACUCUGUGUUGUUACAAGGUAUCUACGUAUGAGUGUCAGCCCAAUAUCCUUUGUUGGUUCAAGAUGUAUUUUGAUGAAAUCUUUUUAAGAUUUUUUCUGAGAGUCUUGGAUACAUAUUUUAUGGAAAUAAUUUAUGUCUGGCCUCAUAUGUGGAAGGUUACCCGCUGGAUUUAAGC